rnacentral:rRNA from 1 species
CUAGACAUGUGUAGAGGGGGGUAGAAUUUCAGGUGUAGCGGUGAAAUGCGUAGAGAUCUGAAGGAAUACCGGUGGCGAAGGCGGCCCCCUGGACAGAUACUGACACUCAGAUGCGAUAGCGUGGGGAGCAAACAGGAUUAGAUACCCUGGUAGUCCACGCCGUAAACGAUGUCUACUUGGAGGUUGUGGCCUUGAGCCGUGGCUUUCGGAAUGCACGCGUUAAGUAGACCGCCUGGGGAGUACGGUCGCAAGAUUAAAACUCAGAUGAAUUGACGGGGGCCCGCACAAGCGGUGGAGCAUGUGGUUUAAUUCGAACGUACGCGAAGAACCUUACCUACUCUUGACAUCCAGAGAACUUUCCAGAGAUGGAUUGGUGCCUUCGGGAACUCUGAGACAGGUGCUGCAUGGCUGUCGUCAGCUCGUGUUGUGACAUGUUGGGUUAAGUCCCGC